rnacentral:rRNA from 1 species
AUUGAACGCUGGCGGCGUGCCUAACACAUGCAAGUCGAGCGAGAGAGGAAAGCUUGCUUUCCGAUCUAGCGGCGCACGGGUGAGUAACACGUGGAUGAUCUACCCAUCAGUUCGGGAUACCAGUUGGAAACGACUGUUAAUACCGGAUGCGAUCUUUUUUCAACUUAAGGUGAAAGGGGGCCUCUGCAUAUGCUCUCGCUGAUGGAUGAGUCCGCGCCUCAUUAGGUAGUUGGUAGGGUAAUGGCCUACCAAGCCUACGAUGAGUAGCCGGCCUGAGAGGGUAAUCGGCCACACUGGGACUGGAACACGGCCCAGACUCCUACGGGAGGCAGCAGUGGGGAAUAUUGCGCAAUGGGCGAAAGCCUGACGCAGCGACGCCGCGUGAGGGAUGAAGGCCUUCGGGUCGUAAACCUCUGUCAGGAGGGAAGAAGUGUACGGGUGCUAAUCAGCCCGUAUUUGACGGUACCUCCAAAGGAAGCACCGGCUAACUCCGUGCCAGCCGC